rnacentral:rRNA from 1 species
UACGGAGGAUGCAAGCGUUAUCCGGAAUUAUUGGGCGUAAAGCGUCCGCAGGUGGCAAUGUAAGUCUGCUGUCAAAGCGUCUGGCUCAACCAGAUAAAGGCAGUGGAAACUACAUAGCUAGAGUAAGGUAGGGGUAGAGGGAAUUCCUGGUGUAGCGGUGAAAUGCGUAGAGAUCAGGAAGAACACCGGUGGCGAAGGCGUUCUGCUAGGCCGCAACUGACACUGAGGGACGAAAGCUAGGGGAGCGAAUGGG